rnacentral:rRNA from 1 species
UACGUAGGGUGCGAGCGUUAAUCGGAAUUACUGGGCGUAAAGAGUGCGUAGGCGGUUCGUUAUGUCUGUGGUGAAAGCCCUGGGCUCAACCUAGGAAUGGCCAUGGAAACUGGCGGGCUGGAGCAUGGCAGAGGGGGGUGGAAUUCCGCGUGUAGCAGUGAAAUGCGUAGAGAUGCGGAGGAACACCGAUGGCGAAGGCAGCCCCCUGGGCUAAUACUGACGCUCAGCCACGAAAGCAUGGGGAGCGAACGGG